GACGAACGCUGGCGGCGUGCUUAACACAUGCAAGUCGAACGGAAAGGCCCUGCUUUUGUGGGGUGCUCGAGUGGCGAACGGGUGAGUAACACGUGAGUAACCUGCCCUUGACUUUGGGAUAACUUCAGGAAACUGGGGCUAAUACCGGAUAGGAGCUCCUGCUGCAUGGUGGUGGUUGGAAAGUUUCGGCGGUUGGGGAUGGACUCGCGGCUUAUCAGCUUGUUGGUGGGGUAGUGGCUUACCAAGGCUUUGACGGGUAGCCGGCCUGAGAGGGUGACCGGCUACAUUGGGACGGGGAUACGGCCCAGACUCCUACGGGAGGCAGCAGUGGGGAAUAUUGCACAAUGGGCGGAAGCAGGAUGCAGCAACGCCGCGUGCGGGAUGACGGCCUUCGGGUUGGAAACCGCUUUCGCCUGUGACGAAGCGUGAGGGACGGUAAUGGGUAAAGAAGCACCGGCUAACUACGU
rnacentral:rRNA from 1 species